rnacentral:rRNA from 1 species
GAUGAACGCUGGCGGCGUGCCUAAUACAUGCAAGUCGAGCGAACAGACGAGGAGCUUGCUCCUUUGACGUUAGCGGCGGACGGGUGAGUAACACGUGUAUAACCUACCUAUAAGACUGGGAUAACUUCGGGAAACCGGAUCUAAUACUGGAUAACAUGUUGAACCGCAUGGUUCAACAGUGAAAGACGGUCUUGCUGGCACUUAUAGAUGGUUCCGCGCUGCAUUAGCUAGUUGGUAAGGUAACGGCUUACCAAGGCAACGAUGCGUAGCCGACCUGAGAGGGUGAUCGGCCACACUGGAACUGAGACACGGUCCAGACUCCUACGGGAGGCAGCAGUAGGGAAUCUUCCGCAAUGGGCGAAAGCCUGACGGAGCAACGCCGCGUGAGUGAAGAAGGUCUUCGGAUCGUAAAACUCUGUUAUUAGGGAAGAACAAAUGUGUAAGUAACUAUGCACGUCUUGACGGUACCUAAUCAGAAAGCCACGGCUAACUACGUG